rnacentral:rRNA from 1 species
GCGAACGGGUGAGUAAUGCUUAAGAAUCUGCCAUUUAGUGGGGGACAACAUUCCGAAAGGAAUGCUAAUACCGCAUACGCCCUACGGGAGAAAGCGGGGGAUCUUCGGACCUUGCGCUAAUAGAGGAGCCUAAGUCAGAUUAGCUAUUUGGUGGGGUAAAGGCCUACCAAGGCGACGAUCUGUAGCGGGUCUGAGAGGAUGAUCCGCCACACUGGGACUGAGACACGGCCCAGACUCCUACGGGAGGCAGCAGUGGGGAAUAUUGGACAAUGGGCGGAAGCCUGAUCCAGCCAUGCCGCGUGUGUGAAGAGGCCUUUUGGUUGUAAAGCACUUUAAGCGAGGAGGAGGCUACCUGGAUUAAUACUCUGGGAUAGUGGACGUUACUCGCAAAAUAAGCACCGGCUAACUCUGUGCCAGCAGCCGCGGUAAUACAGAGGGGUGCGAGCGUUAAUCGGAUU